UGGCAAGAUGUUGGCAGUCGCAU
rnacentral:miRNA from 1 species